GACGAACGCUGGCGGCGUGCUUAACACAUGCAAGUCGAACGAAAAGGCCCUGCUUUUGUGGGGUGCUCGAGUGGCGAACGGGUGAGUAACACGUGAGUAACCUGCCCUUGACUUUGGGAUAACUUCAGGAAACUGGGGCUAAUACCGGAUAGGAGCUCCUGCUGCAUGGUGGGGGUUGGAAAGUUUCGGCGGUUGGGGAUGGGCUCGCGGCUUAUCAGCUUGUUGGUGGGGUAGUGGCUUACCAAGGCUUUGACGGGUAGCCGGCCUGAGAGGGUGACCGGCCACAUUGGGACUGAGAUACGGCCCAGACUCCUACGGGAGGCAGCAGUGGGGAAUAUUGCACAAUGGGCGGAAGCCUGAUGCAGCAACGCCGCGUGCGGGAUGACGGCCUUCGGGUUGUAAACCGCUUUCGCCUGUGACGAAGCGUGAGUGACGGUAAUGGGUAAAGAAGCACCGGCUAACUACGUG
rnacentral:rRNA from 1 species